CCAUUCCUUUUCCUGGCCGGCCAAUCCUUUGGCCCUUUCUUUUCCUUAGCAAGCUGAAGGCUACCUCUCCAAACUCCUGUUUGGCAUCUUCCACAGGGAGCACGAACUCUGCGUGAGCCCCUCCAUCAAGUGCCCCUUCUCACCUGCUACCCUCCUCUUUCCCCAGCUUCGUCUUUUCAGAUCGAGGCUCUCCAAGAACCCUAGCUCCUUUACCCUCCUCCUAUCCCGCCGCCACUAGAGCUUCCUCCGUUAUUUUCCCCUCUCCCAGGCAAAGCACAGAGCAAAAUUCAGAUAAAAUUUCAGAGAACUUCGCCGGAGAGAUCGCCGCCCCGCUGACAUGGGCCUCCUCGAGCGAGGCCAAGCAGCGGGAUGGAACCGCCUUGCUGCCCCAGUUCUUCUCGCGCCAAUAGAUCGACUUCAGGCGCCGGGAAUCGUCGACAUCGACUCCGUUUUCCGUCCGCCUGUACAAGCUCGUCUGUGACGUCGCUGCUGCUACCUCUCGGCGGCUCCUCCGACCUCGUCGACCUCGCCAUCGUCGCCAGGCAUUUGCUUCUUCCCGUAUAGGAUCGCGAAGUGGUGUUGUGAGAUACGACAAGUUCUUCUGCAGCUUUUCACAGGCGAGCCCACCCCUUCACCUAUUUUACUUUUACAUGCUCUUUUGAUCUAUUGCUAUCCUUAUGUGCGAUUCUGUUGUGUCACGUGUCCUAUCCACCUGUUACCUAUAUGUCCGAGAUACACCUCCUCGCCCUACCUAUUGUUUGUUGUUUGCCAGCUUUGCGAGUCGUAGGCGUGUUUAGGCUCUGUUGUUUAUCUCGAUCUGUUAUCGGGAUAUGUUGGGUUGUUGGGAGGUUUUCACAUGAUAUAUCAAUUGUUGGAGAUAAUCACACUUUACUUUAUUGUUAACAACUAAAAUUGUAAGCAGAGGCAUCUGUGAGCCCCUUUGCGAAAGCAUCGGAACUUUGACUCGCUAAUGUCCCCUAGGACCCGAGUUUUUGUUAUCUGUUCCGAGAUUGAGCGCUCUACCCGUACGUGGGGGAAUGGGACCCCCAUCACCCACUACCUUUCCUCGAGUCUGUUUAUUGGGAGCCACAACCUUGGUUUUAUUUGCCCAUAUGCACGAUGCACGUUUUACUUCCUGUUGCCUUCGGGUGUUUAUUUCUGUACUGUACUCAUAACGCGGGACUCCUUAUCCUUGGCCGGUCGUUAGUGCCCGCCUUGGAAGCCGUCGCAAACCUCUGGGUCCGUAUCGGAGUACGGCCGGACUUCGUCACGGGUAGCUUAGUUGGGUGGCUCCCAUUAAACUUUCUCUUGCAUUGGGAACGGUCUUGAUGUGAGACUCCACCUGUAGUAAGUGGGUUCGAGCAUGCGUAUGGUUACAUUUGGGCAACCCCUGCAGGGUGUACAUCUUAUCGAUAAGCCGCGUCCGCGGUUAUGGACGACUUGGAAUUGUAUAGCUUGAUCAUAGAACAACUUACACCUUAUUUCCUGUUGUUAAUAAAUUGCUAAUAAAACCCUUUCAAAAGUGUGUGUGCCUUUGCAAUACCUCUUGGCGAAGGGGGAUCGCCUCGGCUGGGUUUUGAUUGCAGAGUAUAGAACUGCUAGAUUAUGCGCUCUCUCACCUUUUCUAAUAGACGAAUGUUGUAGCGUGUCUCUAUUGGUUAGUUGCUUUGCUGCCGCUAAACUCCACAUAUAGCCGGGUGAAGUUUAUACCGCCCACCAGCGAGCAUAGCUGGUCUUGUCUCGCAAGUACGUGCCAAUGGUACUUACCCUCGCCUUCCUUUCUUUUUGUCUCCUCCCCCUUUUGUCGGCAACCGAUGGCCCGACUUUGACAGGUACGAGAUGACGACGUUAGCAAGGUUACCCUUCCGGCCUGGCCUGGGCAGGGUUAUGGACGCCACUGGUUAUCUUCAGGACUCUUAGUCCAAUUUGUAUCUUGUCCGUACUCGGACGUAUUUGAUCUUCUGUAUGAUUUGGAUCUUUGUAUGUAUCGAUUUGUAUCUUGACUCGUUGGAGUUAUUGUUGUAAUAUAUGUUUCUUGUGGGCUCUAUUGUAA